GGGAAGAGGAGUUUAAACGCAGUUAAACCCUAGACUCACUAAUGGAGGGUUUUACUGCCAUCUAUUUCAGGCACAUGGUGAGAAAACGGAGAAUCCUGCGACACCCAGUGUUUAGCAACCAGAGUCAUUUCACUUUAACAGCAACGUUUCAAGUCUAAGUUUAUGACAGUGAGCAAAAACCACACGUCAGUCUUUAUAGAGCCAGCGUCAGUUUAUUUUUAACGCUCAAGGUGUGUUUUUAAGGUAGGACUUUGCCACAUUUUUGUCUUAAAUCUGGAGGAGAGGCCCAUAUUAAACAAGAACACUUUGCUUUCCUGCUCAGACCAAAGCUACACGUCAUCAGUUCUGGACAGAAGUUUGAAUGUCAUUUAUUUUGGGCUUCCUGGUGAUUUAUGUGAACCUUUCUGUAUAAGUAAAGCACAUAUUGUUGCAAAACCUUUUGCUCAUUGCUGACAGGAGCCUAAUUUCCCUCCACAGCAUUCAGUGUCUGGUUUGCAGAACAUAAAGUGGCCUGGGGAUUAAGCAGCGAGAAUAGCAGCUGUCCUGUUUACAAAAACAUCAUAAAAAAGAAGAGGAGCCAUUGUUGGUCACGACUUGACACGCUGCUUCAUUAUUAAUGCUACUGAGUUCUGGAUGCAAUAAUCGCCACAAAUUGAACAGGAACCUUAACAGUUUUCCAUUAUCAACACAAGUCUGAUGAUUUCCAGAGUUCUUAUUUUCCAGCACAGUUUUCAUCCUGAUAAGCAGGACACAGUGUCUCCUGCUCCGCCCCAACCAAACCUGCGCCUUCAUCUCCAACAGUUUUCCGUUCUGUCAAACUUCUCAUGAUCAACAAUGUGACGCCUGCUGCAAAGUUGAAAACCUCUGACCUCUGAAGUGUUUCUAAAUUCCAACGCUGUCACGAAUAACUCAGAUAAGGCCCUCGUCACCACCCCCCACGUCUCCUCGACUUUAACCUCGACCCUUCCUACCAGGUGAAAUCGGCUCGUUAUCUCAGCUGUACGUGAUGUUAUUUCUAAUCAUCUGUGCUAAAGUUGAACGUUCUCCUUCUUCAUUCCCCAGGUUUUCCUUUCUUUAGGGGACCUUCUGUUUUUAUAGGUGCACGUUAAAAGGAAGUCAACCUCCAAGGAGGGAAAUGGAGUAAAUUUAACUCAAGGAAAUCUAAAAGGAGAACUGGUAAAAACAGAGGAAGCGGUUCCUGUCGUGCAACAUCAUCCAAGAAUUGGCGCGAGUUUACGUUCACGAGGGGGUCGACCUUGCUGCAUUCAAAAAAUGUGACUCAUCUGUUAGGAGCCGUUACAGUGAGAGAGGUGCUGCGGGGAUGUUUUCCAGCUUCCAGGCAAAAGUAGUGACAGGCUGAGAGAGCUCUUUGUCAUGAGGUGCCAUGUUGAACUUCCAGUAACCAGGAUGAGAGAGUAUGAGAGCAAUGACAAUCAAAUCUAUGGGACUGAAUUAUCUCCCAUUCCGGCGCUACGUUUACUGGCGGUGAGGACGGG